rnacentral:rRNA from 1 species
GUGGGGAAUAUUGGACAAUGGGGGGAACCCUGAUCCAGCCAUGCCGCGUGUGUGAAGAAGGCCUUUUGGUUGUAAAGCACUUUAAGCGAGGAGGAGGCGCUCUAGGAUAAUACCCUAGAUGCGUGGACGUUACUCGCAGAAUAAGCACCGGCUAACUCUGUGCCAGCAGCCGCGGUAAUACAGAGGGUGCGAGCGUUAAUCGGAUUUACUGGGCGUAAAGCGCGCGUAGGUGGCUAAUUAAGUCAAAUGUGAAAUCCCCGAGCUUAACUUGGGAAUUGCAUUCGAUACUGGUUAGCUAGAGUAUGGGAGAGGAUGGUAGAAUUCCAGGUGUAGCGGUGAAAUGCGUAGAGAUCUGGAGGAAUACCGAUGGCGAAGGCAGCCAUCUGGCCUAAUACUGACACUGAGGUGCGAAAGCAUGGGGAGCAA